UCCCAUGUGGUCUAGAGGUUAGAAUUCCUGGCUUUCACCCAGACGGCCUGCGUUCGAUUCCCGGCAUGGGAU
rnacentral:tRNA from 13 species